rnacentral:rRNA from 1 species
UGGGGAAUUUUGCACAAUGGAGGGAACUCUGAUGCAGCGACGCCGCGUGAACGAAGAAGGCUUUCGAGUUGUAAAGCUCUUUUAUAUGGGAAGAUAAUGACGGUACCAUAAGAAAAAGCCCCGGCUAACUACGUGCCAGCAGCCGCGGUAAUACGUAGGGGGCUAGCGUUGUCCGGAAUCACUGGGCGUAAAGGGUUCGCAGGCGGAAAUGCAAGUCAGAUGUAAAAGGCAGUAGCUUAACUACUGUAAGCAUUUGAAACUGCAUAUCUUGAGAAGAGUAGAGGUAAGUGGAAUUUUUAGUGUAGCGGUGAAAUGCGUAGAUAUUAAAAAGAAUACCGGUGGCGAAGGCGACUUACUGGGCUCAUUCUGACGCUGAGGAACGAAAGCGUGGGUAGCAAACGGG